rnacentral:rRNA from 1 species
AACGAACGCUGGCGGCAGGCCUAACACAUGCAAGUCGAGCGAAGCCUUCGGGCUUAGCGGCGGACGGGUGAGUAACGCGUGGGAACGUGCCCUUUGGUACGGAAUAGCCCCGGGAAACUGAGAGUAAUACCGUAUGUGCCCUUCGGGGGAAAGAUUUAUCGCCAAAGGAUCGGCCCGCGUUGGAUUAGGUAGUUGGUGGGGUAAUGGCCUACCAAGCCGACGAUCCAUAGCUGGUUUGAGAGGAUGAUCAGCCACACUGGGACUGAGACACGGCCCAGACUCCUACGGGAGGCAGCAGUGGGGAAUCUUAGACAAUGGGGGAAACCCUGAUCUAGCCAUGCCGCGUGAUCGAUGAAGGCCUUAGGGUUGUAAAGAUCUUUCAGUGGGGAAGAUAAUGACUGUACCCACAGGAGAAGCCCCGGCUAACUCCGUGCCAGCCGCCGCCGUAACAC